rnacentral:tRNA from 1 species
UGGCUGAGUGGUAAGGCGCUUGGCUUUCAAACCAGGGAUCCCGGGUUCGAAUCCAGG